GUGUCAGCAGCCGCGGUAAUACGUAGGGGGCAAGCGUUGUUCGGAAUUACUGGGCGUAAAGGGCGCGUAGGCGGCACGGCAAGUCAGGAGUGAAAGCCCUGGGCUCAACCCGGGAACUGCUUUUGAAACUGCCGAGCUAGAGUGCGGAAGGGGCAACUGGAAUUCCCAGUGUAGCGGUGAAAUGCGUAGAUAUUGGGAAGAACACCUGAGGCGAAGGCGGGUUGCUGGGCCGACACUGACGCUGAGGCGCGAAAGCCAGGGGAGCGAACGGGAUUAGAAACCCUUGUAGUCC
rnacentral:rRNA from 1 species